AUUGAACGCUGGCGGCAGGCCUAACACAUGCAAGUCGAGCGAGCGGCGCACGGGUGAGUAAUGUCUGGGGACUGCCCGAUAGAGGGGUAUAACUUCUGGAAACGGUGGCUAAUCCCGUAUUCUCUCGUAUCACCCAUAUGGGAUGAGCUGGUAGGUGGGGGAAAGGCUCACCUAGGCGACUAUCUCUAGCUGGUCUGAGAGGAUGAGCAGCCACACUGGGACUGAGACACGGCCCAGACUCCUACGGAGGAAGCAGUGGGGAAUAUUGCACAAUGGGCGCAAGCCUGAUGCAGCCAUGCCGCGUGUAUGAAGAAGGCCUUAGGGUUGUAAAGUACUUUCAGCGGGGAGGCGUUACCGGCAGAAGAAGCACCGGCUAACUCCGUGCCAGCAGCCGCGGUAAUAC
rnacentral:rRNA from 1 species